AUGAUCGUGGCCUUCUUCGCCGUCUCCAGCGCGGCUCGACGACUCGGCGGCGACGUGUGGGAGCCGGCCGGGGCAGCCGUCUCCGACUCCGGCGACUGUGUGAUGGUGCAGCUCCUCCGGCAAAUGUACCUGCAGCGGCUGGGGGCGGGGCCCUCGUGCGGCACCCACAGCGCCAACGGUGGCUGCCCGCCCUGA
rnacentral:rRNA from 1 species